GAAAUGCGAUAAUUAAUGUGAAUUGCAGAAUUCAGUGAAUCAUCGAGUCUUUGAACGCACAUUGCGCCCCCUGGUAUUCCGGGGGGCAUGCCUGUCCGAGCGUCAUUGCUGCCCUCAAGCACGGCUUGUGUGCUGGGCUUCCGUCCCUGGCAACGGGGACGGGCCCAAAAGGCAGUGGCGGCACCAUGUCUGGUCCUCGAGCGUAUGGGGCUUUGUCACCCGCUCCCGUAGGUCCAGCUGGCAGCUAGCCUCGCAACCAAUCUUUUUAACCAGGUUGACCUCGGAUCAGGUAGGGAUACCCGCUGAACUUAAGC
rnacentral:misc_RNA from 1 species